rnacentral:tRNA from 1 species
GGGUGAUUAGCUCAGCUGGGAGAGCACCUCCCUUACAAGGAGGGGGUCGGCGGUUCGAUCCCGCUCAAUCACCCA